rfam:Novosphingobium sp. AAP1 AAP1Contigs1, whole genome shotgun sequence.
AGAGCGGGCCUUUCAGGCAUCCUCUCCCAAACUUUCCAAGGCCGGUCGCAAGAUCGGCCUUUUUUUUGCCCGCU